rnacentral:rRNA from 1 species
AUUGAACGCUGGCGGCAGGCUUAACACAUGCAAGUCGAACGGUAACAUAAAGGAGCUUGCUUCUUUGAUGACGAGUGGCGGACGGGUGAGUAAUGCUUGGGAAUCUAGCUUAUGGAGGGGGAUAACUACGGGAAACUGUAGCUAAUACCGCGUAGAAUCGGGAGAUGAAAGUGUGGGACCUUCGGGCCACAUGCCAUAGGAUGAGCCCAAGUGGGAUUAGGUAGUUGGUGAGGUAAAGGCUCACCAAGCCGACGAUCUCUAGCUGGUCUGAGAGGAUGACCAGCCACACUGGGACUGAGACACGGCCCAGACUCCUACGGGAGGCAGCAGUGGGGAAUAUUGCGCAAUGGGGGCAACCCUGACGCAGCCAUGCCGCGUGAAUGAAGAAGGCCCUCGGGUUGUAAAGUUCUUUCGGUAGCGAGGAAGGCAUUUAGUUUAAUAGACUAGGUGAUCGACGUUAACUACAGAAGAAGCACCGGCUAACUCCGUG